rnacentral:misc_RNA from 1 species
UUUCCGUAGGUGAACCUGCGGAAGGAUCAUUAUCGAAUUUCGUUUGAGAGGAUAAAGGGAGCAGGUUGUUGCUGGCCUUUUUGGUCGACGCUGGAUAACGGCCGAAACUGAACUUGGCAUCGUGCACGCUUGUGACUUUUUUCCGAUCAAUAAAUUCUCCACACACCUGUGCACUUGUUGUAGGCUUUCGAGAGAAAGCCUAUGUUUACACACGCACCAAACGUAUGUUUGUAGAAUGUCUUUUACAAUUAUUGAGCGCUUCUUCGAGAAGAUGGUCAGUAAAACAAAAGUUAAUACAACUUUCAGCAACGGAUCUCUUGGCUCUC